rnacentral:rRNA from 1 species
UACGUAGGGGGCAAGCGUUGUCCGGAUUUAUUGGGCGUAAAGAGCGCGUAGGCGGAUCGCUAAGUCAGGUGUGAAAUCCCAGGGCUCAACCCUGGAACUGCCUUUGAUACUGACGAUCUGGAGAUCGGGAGAGGUUGGUGGAAUUCCGAGUGUAGAGGUGAAAUUCGUAGAUAUUCGGAGGAACACCAGAAGCGAAGGCGGCCAACUGGCCCGAUACUGACGCUGAGGCGCGAAAGCGUGGGGAGCAAACAGG